rnacentral:rRNA from 1 species
GGGUUGUGAGGUUAAGCGAAUAAGCGUACACGGUGGAUGCCUAGGCAAUCAGAGGCGAUGAAGGACGUGCUAAUCUGCGAAAAGCGUCGGUAAGGUGAUAUGAACCGUUAUACCCGACGAUAUCCGAAUGGGGAAACCCAGUAUCCAAUGGAUACUAUCAUUAACUGAAUUCAUAGGUUAAUGAGGCGAACCGGGAGAACUGAAACAUCUCAGUACCCCGAGGAAAAGAAAUCAACCGAGAUUCCCCUAGUAGCGGCGAGCGAACGGGGAGCAGCCCAGAGUCUUAAUCAAUAGCAGUGUCAGGAGAACGGUCUGGAAAGUCCGGCAGUAAAGGGUGAUAGCCCCGUAUCUGAAGAUGCUGUUAUUGUGAACUCGACGAGUAGGGCGGGACACGUGUUAUCCUGUCUGAAUAUGGGGGGACCAUCCUCCAAGGCUAAAUACUCCUGAUUGACCGAUAGUGAACCAGUACCGUGAGGGAAAGGCGAAAAGAACCCCGGCGAGGGGAGUGAAAAAGAACCUGAAACCGUGUACGUACAAGCAGUAGGAGCCUCUUUAUGGGGUGACUGCGUACCUUUUGUAUAAUGGGUCAGCGACUUAUAUUCUGUAGCAAGGUUAACCGUAUAGGGGAGCCGUAGGGAAACCGAGUCUUAACUGGGCGAAUAAGUUGCAGGGUAUAGACCCGAAACCCGGUGAUCUAUCCAUGGGCAGGUUGAAGGUUGGGUAACACUAACUGGAGGACCGAACCGACUAAUGUUGAAAAAUUAGCGGAUGACUUGUGGAUGGGGGUGAAAGGCCAAUCAAACCGGGAGAUAGCUGGUUCUCCCCGAAAGCUAUUUAGGUAGCGCCUCGUGAACUCAUCUUCGGGGGUAGAGCACUGUUUCGACUAGGGGGUCAUCCCGACUUACCAACUCGAUGCAAACUGCGAAUACCGAAGAAUGUUAUCACGGGAGACACACGGCGGGUGCUAACGUCCGUCGUGAAGAGGGAAACAACCCAGACCGCCAGCUAAGGUCCCAAAGUCAUGGUUAAGUGGGAAACGAAGUGGGAAGGCUCAGACAGCCAGGAUGUUGGCUUAGAAGCAGCCAUCAUUUAAAGAAAGCGUAAUAGCUCACUGGUCGAGUCGGCCCGCGCGGAAGAUGUAACGGGGCUAAACCAUGCACCGAAGCUGCGGCAGCGACACAAUGUGUUGUUGGGUAGGGGAGCGUUCUGUAAGCCUGCGAAGGUGUACUGUGAGGUAUGCUGGAGGUAUCAGAAGUGCGAAUGCUGACAUAAGUAACGAUAAUGCGGGUGAAAAACCCGCACGCCGGAAGACCAAGGGUUCCUGUCCAACGUUAAUCGGGGCAGGGUGAGUCGACCCCUAAGGCGAGGCUGAAAAGCGUAGUCGAUGGGAAACGGGUUAAUAUUCCCGUACUGGUGGUAACUGCGAUGGGGGAACGGAGAAGGCUAGGUUGUCCGGGCGACGGUCGUCCCGGUUCAAGCAGGUAGGCAGAGUGAUUAGGCAAAUCCGGUCACUCAAUGCUGAGAUGUGAUGACGAACCACCAAGGUGGUGAAGCAAUUGAUGCCCCGCUUCCAGGAAAAGCCUCUAAGCUUCAGGUUACCAACAAUCGUACCCCAAACCGACACAGGUGGUCAGGUAGAGAAUACUCAGGCGCUUGAGAGAACUCGGGUGAAGGAACUAGGCAAAAUGGUGCCGUAACUUCGGGAGAAGGCACGCUGGCGGUAGGUAAAGUCCCUCGCGGAUGGCGCUGAAGCCAGUCGAAGAUACCAGCUGGCUGCAACUGUUUAUUAAAAACACAGCACUGUGCAAACACGAAAGUGGACGUAUACGGUGUGACGCCUGCCCGGUGCUGGAAGGUUAAUUGAUGGGGUUAGCGCAAGCGAAGCUCCUGAUCGAAGCCCCAGUAAACGGCGGCCGUAACUAUAACGGUCCUAAGGUAGCGAAAUUCCUUGUCGGGUAAGUUCCGACCUGCACGAAUGGCGUAAUGAUGGCCAGGCUGUCUCCACCCGAGACUCAGUGAAAUUGAACUCGCUGUGAAGAUGCAGUGUACCCGCGGCAAGACGGAAAGACCCCGUGAACCUUUACUAUAGCUUGACACUGAACAUUGAGCCUUGAUGUGUAGGAUAGGUGGGAGGCUUUGAAGUGUGGACGCCAGUCUGCAUGGAGCCAACCUUGAAAUACCACCCUUUAACGUUUGAUGUUCUAACCUAGGCCCGUGAUCCGGGUCGGGGACCGUGUCUGGUGGGUAGUUUGACUGGGGCGGUCUCCUCCUAAAGAGUAACGGAGGAGCACGAAGGUUGGCUAAGCAUGGUCGGACAUCAUGCGGUUAGUGCAAAGGCAUAAGCCAGCUUGACUGCGAGAGUGACGGCUCGAGCAGGUACGAAAGUAGGUCUUAGUGAUUCCGGUGGUUCUGAAUGGAAGGGCCAUCGCUCAACGGAUAAAAGGUACUCCGGGGAUAACAGGCUGAUACCGCCCAAGAGUUCAUAUCGACGGCGGUGUUUGGCACCUCGAUGUCGGCUCAUCACAUCCUGGGGCUGAAGUAGGUCCCAAGGGUAUGGCUGUUCGCCAUUUAAAGUGGUACGCGAGCUGGGUUUAGAACGUCGUGAGACAGUUCGGUCCCUAUCUGCCGUGGGCGUUGGAAGAUUGAGAGGGGUUGCUCCUAGUACGAGAGGACCGGAGUGAACGCACCACUGGUGUUCGGGUUGUCAUGCCAAUGGCAUUGCCCGGUAGCUAAGUGCGGAAGAGAUAACCGCUGAAAGCAUCUAAGCGGGAAACUUGCCUCGAGAUGAGUCUUCCCUGUCGCUUAAAGUGACCUAAAGGAACGUUUAAGACGAAGACGUUGAUAGGCUGGGUGUGUAAGCGUAGCGAUACGUUGAGCUAACCAGUACUAAUGAACCGUGAGGCUUAACCUGACAACACCGAAGGUGUUU